rnacentral:rRNA from 1 species
UCCUACGGGAGGCAGCAGUGGGGAAUAUUGGACAAUGGGCGCAAGCCUGAUCCAGCCAUGCCGCGUGAGUGAUGAAGGCCCUAGGGUUGUAAAGCUCUUUCAGCGAGGAGGAUAAUGACGUUACUCGCAGAAGAAGCCCCGGCUAACUUCGUGCCAGCAGCCGCGGUAAUACGAAGGGGGCUAGCGUUGUUCGGAAUCACUGGGCGUAAAGCGCACGUAGGCGGACUUUUAAGUCAGGGGUGAAAUCCCGGGGCUCAACCCCGGAACUGCCUUUGAUACUGGAAGUCUUGAGUCCGAGAGAGGUGAGUGGAACUCCGAGUGUAGAGGUGAAAUUCGUAGAUAUUCGGAAGAACACCAGUGGCGAAGGCGGCUCACUGGCUCGGUACUGACGCUGAAGUGCGAAAGCGUGGGGAGCAAACAGGAUUAGAUACCCUGGUAGUCCACCCCCUAAACCAUGGAAGCUAGCGUCAGGAGCAUGCUCUUUGGUGGCGCAGCUAACGCAUUUAGCUUCCCCCCU